UCUGGAGGGAAAAGGCGGACGCGUGAUAUCCGGAACCAAUUGAUAUCGGUAGCGUGUUCCUAGAGGGACGUUUUUUGCCGUGGCAUUCUUGUUGUCAACAUUUUGUCCAGUCGUACAUGUCGAAGCUGCCUGCUGAAUAAAUACAAUUUACAGAAUGACAGAUGGUCCAGAAACGCCGCCUAACUAUGAGGAGCAGUUUGCCCACCGGUUCUCUCUCGAGGACCCGGAGUACCAGCAGUACGUGAGUCGCCCCGCCAACCCCCCGCCACUGGUAGAGGACUGGGGGGGGCGUGGAGGUGGAAACAACCGGGGCAGAGACAACAGAUCACAGGACCGUGGCGGGUACAGGGGCCGGGGUUGGGGAGGGGACAGGGGCCGGGGUUGGGGAGGGGACAGGGACCGCGGGGGAGACAGGGACCGCGGAGGGGAUAGGGACCGCGGGGGAGACAGGGACAGGCGUUACGACCAGGGUGGUGGUGGGCAUCAGUCUGGAAGAUACAACUCCUACAACCAGAGACCAUCACAUUACGACCGCUACUGAACUCCUCUUACUGUGGAGUGACCUCACAUCUCUCCAACCCUGUUCCUGGAGAUAGACCCUCCUGUAGGUUUAAACUCCAACCCUGUUCCUGGAGAGAGACCCUCCUGUAGGUUUAAACUCCAACCCUGUUCCUGGAGAGAGACCCUCCUGUAGGUUUAAACUCCAACCCUGUUCCUGGAGAGAGACCCUCCUGUAGGUUUAAACUCCAACCCUGUUCCUGGAGGUAGACCCUCCUGUAGGUUUAAACUCCAACCCUGUUCCUGGAGAAACCCUCCUGUAGGUUUAAACUCCAACCCUGUUCCUGGAGAGAGACCCUCCUGUAGGUUUAAACUCCAACCCUGUUCCUGGAGAGAGACCCUCCUGUAGGUUUAAACUCCAGCCCCAGGUGUAACUGGUUCAGUUUAUCAACAAGAUAAUUAUUAGAACCAGGUGCGUUUGACUAGAGUUGGACUAAAAACUCUCCAGGAACAGGGUUGUAGUUGAAACCUACAGGAGGGUACC